rnacentral:rRNA from 1 species
CCUACGGGUGGCAGCAGUGGGGAAUUUUGGACAAUGGGCGCAAGCCUGAUCCAGCCAUUCCGCGUGAGUGAAGAAGGCCUUCGGGUUGUAAAGCUCUUUCGCAAGGGAAGAAAACUUAUCCUCUAACAUAGGAUGAGGUUGACGGUACCUUGAUAAGAAGCACCGGCUAACUACGUGCCAGCAGCCGCGGUAAUACGUAGAGUGCGAGCGUUAAGCGGACUUAGGCGGCGUAAAGCGUGAGAUGUGUAAUCCCCGAGCUCAACGUGGGAACUGCGUUUGAAACUACAAGACUAGAAUAGGUCAGAGGGGGGUAGAAUUCCACGUGUAGCAGUGAAAUGCGUAGAGAUGUGGAGGAAUAUCAAUGGCGAAGGCAGCCCCCUGGGAUCAUAUUGACGCUCAUGCACGAAAGCGUGGGGAGCAAACAGGAUUAGAUACCCUAGUAGUC